UACGUAGGGUGCGAGCGUUAAUCGGAAUUACUGGGCGUAAAGCGUGCGCAGGCGGUCUCGUAAGCUGGGUGUGAAAGCCCCGGGCUUAACCUGGGCAUGGCAUUCAGGACUGCGAGGCUCGAGUGUGGCAGAGGGAGGUGGAAUUCCACGUGUAGCAGUGAAACGCGUAGAUAUCGGAAGGAACACCAAUGGCGAAGGCAGCUUCCUGGCCCAAUACUGACGCUCAGGUGCGAAAGCGUGGGGAUCAAACAGG
rnacentral:rRNA from 1 species